rnacentral:rRNA from 1 species
GAGGGUGACAGGUGGUGCAUGGUUGUCGUCAGCUCGUGUCGUGAGAUGUUGGUUAAGUCCCGCAACGAGCGCAACCCUCGACCUUAGUUGCCAGCAUUCAGUUGGGCACUCUAAGGUGACUGCCGGCUAAAAGUCGGAGGAAGGUGGGGAUGACGUCAAAUCAUCAUGCCCCUUAUGACCUGGGCUACACACGUGCUACAAUGGGCGGUACAAAGGGUCGCGAACCCGCGAGGGGGAGCCAAUCCCAAAAAGCCGCUCUCAGUUCGGAUUGCAGGCUGCAACUCGCCUGCAUGAAGCCGGAAUCGCUAGUAAUCGCGGAUCAGCAUGCCGCGGUGAAUACGUUCCCGGGCCUUGU